UUCCUCCAUUCAGCUGUCUCUUUGCAGAUGUUCAUCGACAGCAAUAAGAAAAGGCAAUGAUUAGACCGAUGUCUACUAGGCUCCUCAGCUCAGCAUUCUUUCUCCUAGAGGAGACCAGUGUUUUCAACAAUCUACCACAGAGAGUUCUGGAACAUUCCAUGGGUUCACCUUAACUCUCAUGCCCCAAACUAAAACUCUCAUGUCACCAAAUGUCCCAGUCAUCCCUGAGACUUCAUUUUCCAAAGAAAACCAAUCUCAGGACCUGGGUUCCAUUUCAAGCACCCUCAUGAUGGCUCACCACAAUCCACAACCUCAGUUCCAAGGAAGCAACAGACACACAUCCACGUGUGUGGGCAAAACGUUCAUAGUCAUAAGGAAGAUGCUCAAGGAUAUUCUUCAGCAAGAUGGAAAGUGAACCAGAAACAGGGAGACAUCAGAGUCAGAAUGGCAAGGGAAGCCCCAGGACGACAGCCAGGCAGCAGGCAGGCCUAGGGAACAGGCAGUCCUAAAGGAGAGGGCAUGGAGGAGGCUCUAAGAAAAACAACAUAGGUAAGUGCUCAUUGUUCAGUUGAAUACUGAAAAUUAGCAUCAAUAUUCACUGGGCAAAAUUCAUUGAAUAUAUGGAAAAAUCCUAAGUUAUCAAAAUGAAAUUUUAAAAAGAUCAAAAAUGUAGUCACUAAACAAAUGAAAAUCAAGG